rnacentral:rRNA from 1 species
UACGUAGGGUGCGAGCGUUAAUCGGAAUUACUGGGCGUAAAGCGUGCGCAGGCGGUGAUGUAAGACCGAUGUGAAAGCCCCGGGCUUAACCUGGGAAUUGCGAUGGAGACUGCAAGGCUUGAAUCUGGCAGAGGGGGGUAGAAUUCCACGUGUAGCAGUGAAAUGCGUAGAGAUGUGGAGGAACACCGAUGGCGAAGGCAGCCCCCUGGGUCAAGAUUGACGCUCAUGCACGAAAGCGUGGGGAGCAAACAGG